UAGUGCAAAUAUUUUACACACAAUUUAUACAAUACUCGAUAUGUAUAUUUUUACUUGAUAUUUGUGCGGACAGGUGAGGUAAGCCCGGUCACCUCACCCCCCCUUUAUUAAUAGUGGGGGCAGGGCCGGGGUCGUAUUAGGGUAGAAAAUAUUUAAAGAAGAGGGCGGUGUUAUGGACCUCCCUGCCGAAGAUGCGAGGUCAACCAACUCGGAGCCACACUUUCACUGAAACAAGGGGAAGGCUCUUAGAGUCCCUCCGGGGACUAGAGGCAGCAGUAGAGAAUCUUGUGCAAUAUACAAACAAGUAUGACACAGAGGUCAUCUAGAUUUUUAGGCCUGUCAAAUUAAGUGCCAGCAGACGCGGUGAGACUUAGGGGCCUAGGCUUUAUUAGAAAAGAGGCGUAAAGGGUGUGUAGGCCUUUUCAUUAUUAAGACCUAAAAUCUUAAACUUAACUUAAAAUAGAAGUUAAUUGGAAUUUUACUGUAGCGGUAGAAUGUGAAGAAAGAGACAAGAACACCUAAAGCGAAAGCAAUUAACUAGCAGAGGGAGUCAAAUAGGCUGAAACACGAGGGUCUGGGCAACAAACAGGAUUAGAGACCCUGGUAGUCCACACUGUAAACGAUGGGGAACAAUUGCUAUUUUAUGCAGCCCCAAUAGGCAGCAAAUCCCCCGCCUGAGUAGUACGAUCGCAAGAUUAAAAUUCAAAAAAUUUGGCUGUUCUCCGAUAUGAUUAGAGGAGCGUGUAGUUUAAUUCGAUAAUCCGCGAGAUACCUUACCCUAACUUGAAUCACCACAGCCCUCCAAAUUAAUUACAGGCAUUGUACCUAUUUUUAAUAUGGCUACAACCUCUUUUUGGAUGGGUAGUGUGACCAACCGGUGUUGCAUGGCCGUCGUCAGUCCGUGUAUUAAUCACAAAACGGACAUAAGCCAUAAUUGUUUUAUAUUUAACAAUUAUGGAUGAAGUCAGGUCUUAUGGCCCUUAUGUUAGGGGAUUAGAAUGCGCUACAAUCACCUGCUCAAUGGUCUACUAUAUACUUUUAGUGAAUACCUACAAAGCGCGGUGGGCGGAUGGCGAUUGGGAUAGUCGCCUGAAGUUGAAUUUAAUAGUAAUCGGGAAGUAGAGCGUCCCGGUGAAACCACUUAACACGGAGUUAGCACAAAUCGCCCGUCACCUUAUCUAAGUUCCUAGGCACGGACACUGCCCAAUGGUUAAAGAAAUGGGUGGAUACUGGCUUAUAGCAAAGAUAAGCAAGUCGUAACAUAGUGAGAGGAGGGGAACCUCUUCUUG
rnacentral:rRNA from 1 species